rnacentral:rRNA from 1 species
CCUACGUGCGGCAGCAGUGGGGAAUAUUGGACAAUGGGCGAAAGCCUGAUCCAGCCAUGCCGCGUGUGUGAAGAAGGCCUUCGGGUUGUAAAGCACUUUCAGUGGGGAAGAAAGCCUUGGGGCGAAUACCCUCGAGGAAGGACAUCACCCACAGAAGAAGCACCGGCUAACUCCGUGCCAGCAGCCGCGGUAAUACGGAGGGUGCGAGCGUUAAUCGGAAUUACUGGGCGUAAAGCGCGCGUAGGCGGUCUGAUAAGCCGGUUGUGAAAGCCCCGGGCUCAACCUGGGAACGGCAUCCGGAACUGUCAGGCUAGAGUGCAGGAGAGGAAGGUAGAAUUCCCGGUGUAGCGGUGAAAUGCGUAGAGAUCGGGAGGAAUACCAGUGGCGAAGGCGGCCUUCUGGACUGACACUGACGCUGAGGUGCGAAAGCGUGGGUAGCAAACAGGAUUAGAUACCCCAGUAGUC